rnacentral:rRNA from 1 species
UACGGGGGGGGCAAGCGUUGUUCGGAAUUACUGGGCGUAAAGGGCGCGUAGGCGGUCUGCUAAGUUGGAUGUGAAAACUCUGGGCUUAACCCAGAGCCUGCAUUCAAUACUGACAGGCUAGAGUUCUGGAGGGGAUAGCGGAAUUCCUGGUGUAGCGGUGAAAUGCGUAGAUAUGUGGAGGAACACCAGUGGCGAAGGCGACUCUUUGGCCUGUAACUGACACUGAGGCGCGAAAGCGUGGGGAGCAAACAGG